rnacentral:rRNA from 1 species
GGGUAGCCGACCUUGAGAGGGGUGAUCGGGCCCACAUUGGGACUGAGACCACGGGCCCCAGACUCCUUACGGGGAGGGCAGCAGUGGGGGAGUAUUUGCACGAAUGGGGGGAAAACCCUGGAUUGCAAGCAAACGCCCGCGUGAAGCGAAAGAAAGGGCUCUUUCGGGGUUUGUAAAAGCUCUGUUCUUUCCUCUGACGAUAAAUGAACGGGUAAGGGGAAGGGAGGGAAAGCCCACGGGCUAAACUUACGUGCCCAGCAGCCCGCGGGUAAAUACCGUUAGGGUGGGCGAAGCGUUUGUCCCGGAAAUUAUUUGGGCGGUAAAGGGUGCCGUAGGCGGUUUUUUAAAGUUGGGAUGGUGAAAUCCAUGGGCUUUAACCCAUGAAUUGCAUUUCCAAACUGGAAAGCUUUGAAUGCAGAGAGAAAGCGAAUUCCCAGUGUAGCCGGUGAAUGCGUAGAUAUGGGAGGAACACCCAGUGGGCGAAGGCGGCUUUCUGGACUGUAACUGACGCUGAGGCACGAAAGCGUGGGGGAGCAAACAGGAUUAGAUACCGUGGUAGUCACGCUGUAAACGAUGGGUACUAGGUGUAGGGGGGCGUAGCCCUCUGGGCCGCAGUUAACACAUUAAGUACCCCGCCUGGGAAGUACGAUCGCAAGAUUAAAACUCAAAGGAAUUGACGGGGGCCCGCACAAGCAGCGGAGCAUGUGGUUUAAUUCGAAGCAACGCGAAGAACCUUACCAGGGCUUGACAUCCUACUAAUCCUGUAGAGAUACGGGAGUGCCCUUUUGGGAAAGUAGAGACAGGUGGUGCAUGGUUGUCGUCAGCUCGUGUCGUGAGAUGUUGGGUUAAGUCCCGCAACGAGCGCAACCCCUGCCUUUAGUUGCCAGCAUUAAGUUGGGCACUCUAAAGGGACUGCUAGGGUUAACCUAGAGGAAGGUGGGGAUGACGUCAAAUCAUCAUGCCCUUUAUGCCCUGGGCUACACACGUGCUACAAUGGCCGGUACAAAGAGCAGCGAGGCCGCGAGGCGGAGCAAAUCUUAAAAACCGGUCCCAGUUCAGAUUGUAGGCUGCAACUCGCCUACAUGAAGCCGGAGUUGCUAGUAAUCGCGAAUCAGCAUGUCGCGGUGAAUGCGUUCCCGGGCCUUGUACUCACCGCCCGUCACACCAUGAGAGUCUGCAACGCCCGAAGUCAGUGGGCUAACGCGAAAAGCGAGGCAGCUGCCGAAGGUGGGGCCGAUGAUUGGGGUUG